rnacentral:tRNA from 1 species
UGGCUCAGUGGUAGAGCGCUUGCCUCACAUGCAUGAGGUCCUGGGUUCGAUUCCUCAG